AUGCAGGUUUUGCCUUACGUUUUUUCUAAGGAGAACCACUGAGAAGAUUCAUUUUGAAAGAGAAAGAUGGGCCUGGCAGUGUGAUGUAAAUGCAGGCAUUCGGAGUCCCUGCUGGAGCCCACACAGAGGUACCUUCCUUACAACUCCCUACCUCCCUCAGCAAAACACAAGGCCUGUGAAUGAGGGAUGCAAAAUGGACACAGAGGAGGAAGGAGGCACCUGAAGGCACCUUCUAGAAGCACAGAAUCUCACUGAAGCCUGUACACAUGCUCGCUCUUCAAUUCUCAUCAAAAGCAGAGUGUUUCAAGGAAUGCUUACAGAAAGGAGACCAGGAGGAGAAAAAGGAGGAAGAAGGAGUAUGUGGAGGAGGCAGGGGCAGAGGGAAGAGUAGGACUUCAACCAGUGACAAAGAGGAAAUUAAUGUAAAGUGAUAAAAACCCAAGGAACCAAAUGUUAAGAAUGGAAAUUCCUUGGAAAAUCCAAAGAAAGACAAUAUCAUGAGGGGAGAAGAGAAGGAAGAGGUGGGCUUAGAUGCAAGCUUACUGUUUAGUUACCAAAAUGCCAGGAUUUCAGGCGGCACCAGACCCCCUGGUUUCCAUUUUGAUGCCAUCACUUAGUCAUUUACAGUCAGGUUAAUGCUCACCAACGAGCAGACGGACCCAGGAGACUGGCCCAGGGCUUUUGCAGCUAACCGGAGCUGGGUGGUCUUUUUGGGUACCCAGCACACGAGAU